rnacentral:misc_RNA from 1 species
AAGUCGUAACAAGGUUUCCGUAGGUGAACCUGCGGAAGGAUCAUUAGAAUGAGAGCCGGACCAUGUCGUGGGCGAAAGCCCAAACGUGCCAGUAAGCGCCCGUAAACCUCCACCCUUGUAUAUUAUUUCUUUGUUGCUUUGGUGGGCCGCAAGCCUUUCGGGCGAGCACCGGCUUCGGCUGGAGAGUGCCUGCCAGAGGACCCAACUCUGUAAUUUAGUGAUGUCUGAGUACUAUUAAAUAGUUAAAA